AGUGAACGCUGGCGGUAGGCCUAACACAUGCAAGUCGAACGGCAGCACAGUAAGAGCUUGCUCUUACGGGUGGCGAGUGGCGGACGGGUGAGGAAUACAUCGGAAUCUACUUUUUCGUGGGGGAUAACGUAGGGAAACUUACGCUAAUACCGCAUACUUCCUACGGGUGAAAGCAGGGGAUCUUCGGACCUUGCGCGAUUGAAUGAGCCGAUGUCGGAUUAGCUAGUUGGCGGGGUAAAGGCCCACCAAGGCGACGAUCCGUAGCUGGUCUGAGAGGAUGAUCAGCCACACUGGAACUGAGAAACGGUACAGACUCCGAAGAGAGGCAGCAGUGGGGAAUAUUGGACAAUGGGCGCAAGCCUGAUCCAGCCAUACCGCGUGGGUGAAGAAGGCCUUCGGGUUGUAAAGCCCUUUUGUUGGGAAAGAAAAGCAGCAGGUUAAUACCCCGAUGUUCUGACGGUACCCAAAGAAUAAGCACCGGCUAACUUCGUG
rnacentral:rRNA from 1 species